AUAUAUAUAUAUGUGCAGCAACAUCAAAGGAAGGUUAACCACGAUGAUAGCUUUUGUGUGCGUCAGAUGCACAUGGGCAAUAAACACCAUAGAUGCUCAUAAAAAAAGUCCAUCACAUGCCAGGGGGAGAAACUAAAAGUAGUUGAUAGCUUCCACUACCCAAUUAACCAAGUCUGUAGUGGGGUAGAUGCUCAGAGAGCAUUGCUACUAGAAUAAGAAUAGCCUGGGCAAAGUUCAGAAAGCUCUUACCUCUACUGGUGACAAAGGGCCUCUUCCUCACAGUGAAAAGAAAAUUGUAUGAUGCCUGGGUAUGAACAGCUAUGCUACAUAGUAGCAAAGCGUGGGCUGUGAC